AGGGCUGUCGGUGUUUGACGCUCGAUGGAGGCGGUCGAGAUGUUGAGGCCGGGAAGCAGGGAGAGCGAAAGGGAAGACCAGGGAAGCCCGGCGGGUCAGCAGGCAUGAAAAGGCGCCUGAGGAGCGAGCGCCAUCUAGAGGGUAAUCCUCAUUUAGGGACUGCCUCAUGCUAUACUGUGACAGUUCAAGGGAUGGUGAUGAAAAAGUAACUUUGCAGCUAAUCCUUGGCAGAUCUGAAGAGCAAAAGAAAGCUGAAAUUGGACUGCAAGCACGGCGCAUCUUGGAGAUGGAGUACAAAUUGAUGAAACAAUUUGGUGUCAGCAGUGGCAUUUAUUCCAAAUGCUCUAAAGUCUUCUGUUUUAAUAUCAACUUUUUAUGACCCUGUAAUCUCUUAAUUUGGGAGAAAGUCGUGAUGACUGGAUAGAGCUGAGAGUUUACUGGCUGGAUGCCCUUCCUGAUGUCUAUGCAGAGUUCACAGCAGAAAUUUUUUUCUUGGCACCCCUAGGAGAGAAAUAUCUGCUGCUACCUAGGAUUGUAUUUUCAACUUUCUGAGUGGGAGGCAAGUCUUCACCAUUAGGCCAGCACCCUGCUCAAUAUAUAAUUAAUAUAAAAUGACUUCAUAAUUAUUAAAUUAUUUGAUAUGUA